AUUUGUGUGAGGAACCGGCAACCCCAAAGAGUCGAAACAAGGUCAGACGUCUUUGUGUUGCCGGCC
rnacentral:sRNA from 18 species